UAUUGUUCGAGUCUUUCUCACAUUGUCCAAUUUAUUAAGGCAGCAAAACAUUUUGAUCUUGUCUUAGUUUCGUCUUGGUUCUUAAUUGAGUCCUAAUUUUUUUUUAGGAUGAACAUGAGAUAAUUGUGUUCCGAUUCAGUUGUGUCCCAUGAGCACUUAUCCUGUAUUCCAUGCUGUCCUGUGAACACAUGGUUGGCAAAAGUGUUAAAGUUCCUUGCUCUCUUGGAAGUGAUGAUUCACACAAGCCUGGCAAUCGUGAUUCAUCUAAAAAAUGAGAUGAAUGCUGAUUCCUGGACCCAAGAAUUAUCAUUGGCACUGAAAAAUCCUUCCUUUAAACUCAUUGGCCCCUGCACCUCGACCUUCUCACCUCUGGAACUCUUCUCAUGUGGCUUCCACCAAAUUUUUAAGCCAAAAUCAUCCUCGCUAUCCAAUCUUCUGUGAUUUCUUUGUGACAUUGAUUCGUGUUCCUCUUCCCUGGGCAACCUUGUGCUUGAUAGGUUCCUCUUAAAUCUCUUUGCUACUUUGUUGAUCACUGCUCUGUUUUGGUUAGGAAAUGGCGGCGGAGAUGCUUUCCCGGGACUCUUCGCUAAUUCAUUCGAGCGAGUUGAGUUAGUUGAUCGAUGAUUCCUUUCCCCGGGCCAAUUCUUGGCAUUCGUUCUCUUGCAUUCUGGAUUACGGUAUUCUCGGAGCAUGUAACAACUUAACUAAAAUCUGUAAGCUACCUUCUGCCUUGCUGUAAGAGCUUCCUUGCAAGCUGUGCUGUACAUUUCCAUCGUUUGCUUCAGUUCGAGCUUCAAUCUUCUCAUCUCGGCUUCCAUAUCAUCCUAUUAUUUCAAGAAGAGCUUCAUAAUUAAUUCCUUUCCUGGGAGGCAUGAAUGAGUACAUUUUUUAAGAGUACGACCGACAGAGAGCCAUUGAAAAUUGGACAGCUAAGGUAUGAAGAUCAAGUUGCAAUAACCCGUUAGUAUUCGGGCAUGUUAAUAUAGUACGGUAGGUUAGUCCAACAAAUUGUUCAUGUUUUAUCCUUGACGUUGUCCUUACCGAUAGGGACAAUCUUGAGGAUGACCCCCCACUGUCUUGCGAGCUGAAUGAAAAGUCACCCUGGGAAUAGUUCAUGUCAAUUGACCUGGCCCCUGAGAAAGAUGACUCGGAGCUUCUGCCAUCAAAAUCUGAGCUGUUGGAAAGUCGAGGGGCCAUUCCGGGUUCGAGAUCAUCAAACAUCGAAGGAAGCAUCCUUUCGAUGCUUGGCCUUCCGCUGCUCACAAAUGAUAUAUCAGAGUCAGGGAUUGAGGAUUCGUACGGUUUGUAGCUUGAUCUGCCACCUCUUGUGAAUGGUGAUCUGUCCACAGAUUAUCCAGUUAGUCCUUUCACAAGUUCUUUAAUCUAUGUAAAUCUCCAUUUCAGCACACACUGGCAUUUGUAAUUUAACAUUCAACAAUUUCUAUGAAUGACAUUUACUACUGCCUUUAUGGAUGCAUAAAGAUCAUUUUAUAUGCGUGUUCUAA